UGCUCCACCUCCUCUGGGAUUCUGCUCAAAGCGACAGAAGAGAAGAGAAGAACAGUCCUCGACUUCAUUUACUUACCAGCUGUUUUAUUUCAGUUUCCUGUCUCCUUAGUCUUUUUUUUUUUUUUUUCCUUUUUUUUUUUUUUUUGUUUUUGUUUAAAGUUAAGUAAAGCAGUUGCAAGGCGGGAUUGGUACCUAGUUAACCAAGACAGAUUGGAAGUUCUUUGGAAGAGGCUACACAUCUUUUAGAGGGUUUGGACAGCACUUCGCUUAACUAUUUUAGUCUUCAUAGCACUGUAGGGCAGGGCAAUCCCAUAAUAUACGUGAUCCAUUUCACUGAUGCACUAAGGCCGGUGCAUGAGCAGUGGCAGCCUGGCAGUGCCAUGCUGGGCCAAGCCAUGCAUUCCUCCCUCUGCUUCCUGCCCAUGCUUUACAAGUGAGCAGACUCCACUUACCAUACCGUGUGGGGCUGCGACUAGGUAAAGAUGAUUUCUCCCUUACCUAGGCUAAAAGGAAGUAGUAGCUUAACACAUUAUUGCCAAAGGUCUUUGAAAACCGUCAUGUAGAAGAAAAUUGCCUAAUGGCUUUCUUUGCCUUUUGCAAAUUCAGGGGUUUAAGGCCAGAAGGGACUAGGGUGAUUAUCUUGUUGGACCUCCCUUGUAAAAGCCAUAAAAGCUCAAACCCUUAAGCAUUUAAUUUGGAGAAGCUCAUGGUAGUUUAAGACCUUCAAAAGAUGGAGAACUGCCCUGCCCUGUGGUAAGUUGUUCCCAGAGUUAACCUGCCUACUUUGUUACACACUAAAAUUGCAGUGAAUGAAGACAGGAAUAUGGGGCAGGGCUAAAAAAAAAAAAGAGCACGUUAAAGUUUCAGCCCAUAGCACCCCCAUAAGCACCGACUGUAGAGUUCCAUGCCUCCUACGUACGAUUCAGACAUCGCAGGUGUACCAGCUGCGCUUCCCUAAAGAUUUCAGUGGAGUGAAGCACAAGAGACAUGGAGAUGAAUCAGCAACAAGAGGAACUGCUUCUCACUGAGAGAGGGGAAACUGGAUGGAAAUUUGGAUACUCCAGGCAUCCAAACAGAUCGAGCAUGCUGGGGAAUGGAGAGGAGCAGUACACUGAGCAUUUUAAUAACCUGAGUAUUUCUUGAAAGUCUCCAGUAAGAACCCAUUUUGAGAAUGUACUUACUUUCUGCAUAAUAUGUAAAGAUUAAAAGUCUACAAAGACCACAAACUGCUUUCUGGAAGGCUUAAAUACCUUAUUAGCAGGAAAUGAAACCCUAAUGUGGAUAAAUUAGAUGUGUAACCUCAUUUCUUUCAGUCAUCCUCCCUCUAGGAUGGUAUAUCCAGUAAAGAGACCAGAAUGUAAGCCUUGUUUCAGUGCAUAUGCAGCACUGCCUUCCCUUGAGGAUCUUUCUAAAGAAUCACACCAGCAAUGCCUGCUUUCUUCAAACUCUCCUGCCACAGUGCCUUCAGAAUCUGGCAAAACUCCAUUAAAAUUUUAGACCCAUUUAUUUUGUACUAAAAUGAAUGUAAAUAAGAUUUAAGUUAAGGGAGAAUUUAGAUUUUUCAGGCUGAGCACAAGAUAGAUCUAAGGUGUCAGUGUAAAUUUCUUGAAGGUUAAUGCAGUUAAACAUAUUUGAUGCAUAAAAGCGUCACAUCUAACACUAAUCACUCACCCAUUGUAAUUGCCUUUUCAAAGUCCUCACCUCCCCAAGACAAAUGCCCAAAAAAAUGAGGUCUGGCAAAUUUAAAACAAAAAACAAAUAAUGUCCUCCUACCAUCAGGACCUAUUAUUUGCUUUGAUAGAUUUAGUACUAGAUUUCAAGAAUUUAUUGUCCUGUAUUAUUUCUCAGCUGCCUGCCUAAUCCUUCUUUCCCCCUCCCCCUUCUAUUUGACUGACUUUAAAACCAUGCAAAAACUACCUGCUGAUGUCUUUUUUUACAAACACAGACCAUCAAAGGGUUUGCUCCCUGGAAAGCCACGAGCCAGCUUCCAGAUACAGUGGUGCUGAGCUCCUCCAGUCAGCAGCGGAAGUUCUCGAAGCUUCUGACAUUUAUUUCCAGGUUCAUUCUUAAGCCGAACAUUCACCCUGUGUUGGAUACCUUACAAAAACUGACUUCCCUGCUUAGUGUUAGUUACACACUACUUCAGAUCAAGUCAUUACAAUAACAGGACCACAACUUUUUUUCAAACCAGAAUCUAGCCAACCCUAUACCGUUUUUGUUUCCUAUACUUUCUUAUCCAUCUAAUGCUCCAUCUCAGUAGGUAUCCUGAAGUAUAUAACAACCAAAAGGAGCUCUUAAUAUCUUUUUUCUGAAGUAUUUUUCUUCAGGGCAUCCCAGAAGAACUGAGACCUUAACAAGCCAUCCCUUCGGGUCUUGAUACUGAUUAAUGGUAGCAGGCAGCAAGAACACUAACAAACUGAGGCGUUAUUCCCCGUUUUAUUUUUAGUGAGACAGAGUAAAAGUGCAAGAGGGUAAGUAUCACGUCAAGCAUAAGCAGACAAAAAAACGCACAAGUUUGCUUAUUUACCAGUUAAGGGUAAUAAAAUAAGGGUACCUACCUUCCAACUGCCUGGGCAGCAGCAGGUCCAGAGGGCAGGACCCUGUGCUGGGAAACUGGUUCUGCUGAAGAUCCGUUGGAGCAGGAUACAGCCCAGGCCGCCUUCUCGCCCUCCUCUCCACAGCUGGCAUCAGCUUCCCGGGGCGUAAGAGGCCCCCAGUUGUAGGGCACCGAGAGCACUGCGGGUGAAGACAGAAAUACAGUUUGGUGUUAGUGAUACGCUAAGGAGUAUUUACAGCGCUACCGUUAAUAUAUUAUUUAGCUAUUUGUUCUUUCCCCAUAUGAAGGGGAUUUUGGCUAGCAGCUUUCCAUACAUUAAAGCAAGGAAUAUAAUGAGACAGCAGACAAACUGCCACAGACAUGCACUGCUACGGACAAGUCUUUGUCAACACACUGUGCAGUUAACUCCUUUAAGACAUGACAGGUGCUAUGUAAAUGCAAGCUCAUUAUCAAAGAAACCAUGGCUUGCUGCUCACAGUGAUGUAGCACCAGAGACAUGAAAAAUCCUCCAGUUACAUGUUGGAGUAAUGUGUGCUAAAGACAAACUAUUUCCAGAUGUUAGAAAAGCAACUGAUACAGAUGUGGCAAUUCAGACAAGAAAAAAAAAAACAACACAACUUUCAGGCAAAAGGAAUGAGAUCAAAGCAAAAUAGUCAAAAAAAGCACCAGCCACUAGUCUUGGCUCAUGCAUUUGGAGGUGGCUUCUUGGUGUUGCUAGCACCGGUGCUUGGGGCAUUAGGUUAAACCAGCACUUAUCAAAGGGGCUUUAUUAACACCAGGUACAUCCAUAGAGAGAUACAGCCCUUUCCUAGCUGCAACCCCCCCACACACUUUCUUAUUUUCAGGCUCACUCAGUGACACAAGGUUUAACCACAUGCAUAGAACUUAAAACCUGGUGCCCUUUCCUGCUGCUAUUUGUGAGCACCGAGUCCCAAACAGCCUCUGUCGCUGCAGCUUGGUGAGGGGGAACUGGAGAACGCUGAUGAAAUGGGUUGAUUUGGGGCAUAUUUAUUUGAAUUGUUGGUUACCAACAGCCUCACAGAGUACAGAAUAUAAAGUGAGACAAACAUGGGAGCUGAUCCUAUCGAGACACACCUUUUUUCUGGAAAAGGGCACAUUAGCAAGAACAGGAGCCAUGCCAACUGCUUUGACCUGAAAGACAGCAUUUCUUACCACCACAUUAAAGCCACACAAGCCACGAACAAGCACUCUGACACCGGUGGCCUUCACUAUGCUCUUUGCAACCAGAGCUGCUCCACUCCCAGAAAGGGCUUUGGUACAAAAGCCAUGGCACAACCCUCCGCAUGUGCAAGUCAUCUGCUGUAUUGAAGUACAUUAAAAAACCCUCAAGCACAGUAUAGGUUAUAACAGGUACGGUUGAGGAAAAUUAUUACAAAUAACUGCACCAAACAGGGCAGUGCUUUCACUCAAGAUUCAUUUACUGGGCAGCACAAAAGCAGCAAAUGCACAGCCGCUCCAACUUCCCUGUCAAAAACUAAAACUGGCAUGAGGUGAAAGAGGUCUGAAAUGGCACGAGACCAGGCUAGCUUACACAAAUAUAAUAUCUCUGCUUUUUGAUUCUUUCCCCUAGGGAGGAAGAUGAGAAGUACUACUACUGAGCCGAGCUGAAUGCCCAGGGAGACAGACAGCUAGAAAGUCUAGAAGUUUUCAGUGUUUUUAAUAGUUCCAUUUCAGUGUUGUGCCUGAAUUCCUUUCCUAAAGCCAGUAGUUAUUCGGUUUUUACUCGGUAGAGAGCUAAGCCUCAUAUAUCCCCUCAAUACAAACCCUCUAGCCCUUUGAGUUGCUUCAAAUAAAUGCUCCCUUGUGUCUGGUGUUAACUUCCCAGAGCUCUGAAGCAGAGGGGAGGCUUGGAUAAGAGGCCGUUUAGAAGCCCUAUACAAAUGUAGAUUUGAUUGACUGACUGAUUGAACUUAAUUGCAGACAUUCUCUUAAUUGUACACUUAAUUACUGACACUGUGUCAAAAGAUUUCUGAUGCAGCACCUGGAGGACAACCUUGCAAGUGCCAGUCAAAGCCAGCUGCACAAGACAUCAGGGAGGUGCUGCAUACUGCUACAGCUUGGAAGGGGAAAAAUCAUAAUAUUUUAAUAAUAUACAAUUAGAGUUUCACCCACCCUCAAACAUGCGCGUGCAUACACACAGAAUCACAAAUCUCUUUGCAGGGAGGGCAUCUAAUACAUGAGGAACAGAAAAGAAAAGAAACAAAGAGUGAUAAUUAUGUGACCAUGUGACGGUUCCACCCUUUUGUGGUCUCUCCUAAUAUCUACAGUAUUGUGAGCUGCAAGGGGAGGGCAGUAUGCCAUCGUUUUUGGCAGGAGUGAUACAGCUGCUGGCCACUCUCAAUUUAGUAACUCCAGAUUUUUUAUGUUAAAAUUGUAACCAGAAAUAAAACCCAUGAUAUUUGUUCAAAGGUUAAAACUCUGAAUAUUCUCCGCAGUGAUUUUGAGUCACUGCAGGUCUUCCUGAAAAUAGCUAUGCAUGAAGCAAAGAUAACAGCAUUCUAACUGUUUGUAAUAAGAAGUGUCUGCAGGAAUUUUGUGAUUAUGGCUCCUAUAAUUCUCAAUAGGCAAAUUAGUAUUUUAGUGAACACAAAAAACUUAAACUCAUGCUACAAUAGGUUGUAUGUACAGUGUGCAUGAUGCACAAAUAAGCAGAAACUAAUUUGGAUGCGUGCAUUUUUUUUCCCACAAUAUUUUUACCAAUAAAGUCACAUUUACAAAA